rnacentral:rRNA from 1 species
UACGUAGGGGGCAAGCGUUGUCCGGAAUCAUUGGGCGUAAAGAGCGCGUAGGCGGCCCUGUAAGUCCGCUGUGAAAGUCAAGGGCUCAACCCUUGAAUGCCGGUGGAUACUGCAGGGCUAGAGUCCGGAAGAGGCGAGUGGAAUUCCUGGUGUAGCGGUGAAAUGCGCAGAUAUCAGGAGGAACACCGGUGGCGAAGGCGGUUCUCUGGGCCUGUACUGACGCUGAGGAACGAAAGUGUGGGGAGCGAACGGGG